rnacentral:tRNA from 1 species
GGCUUCGUAGCUCAGCUGGCAGAGCGCUUGCCGCGUUGAGGCAUGACGUUUCUGUCACUGAUUCGAAUUCAGCCGAAGCCC